rnacentral:rRNA from 1 species
AGAGUUUGAUCCUGGCUCAGGAUGAACGCUGGCGGCGUGCUUAACACAUGCAAGUCGAACGAAGCACUUUUACAGAUUUCUUCGGAAUGAAGUUUUAGUGACUGAGUGGCGGACGGGUGAGUAACGCGUGGGUAACCUGCCUCACACAGGGGGAUAACAGUUGGAAACGGCUGCUAAUACCGCAUAAGCGCACAGUACCGCAUGGUACAGUGUGAAAAACUCCGGUGGUGUGAGAUGGACCCGCGUCUGAUUAGCUAGUUGGCAGGGCAACGGCCUACCAAGGCGACGAUCAGUAGCCGACCUGAGAGGGUGACCGGCCACAUUGGGACUGAGACACGGCCCAAACUCCUACGGGAGGCAGCAGUGGGGAAUAUUGCACAAUGGGGGAAACCCUGAUGCAGCGACGCCGCGUGAGCGAAGAAGUAUUUCGGUAUGUAAAGCUCUAUCAGCAGGGAAGAAGAAAUGACGGUACCUGACUAAGAAGCACCGGCUAAAUACGUGCCAGCAGCCGCGGU